GGGACCCGUCUUGAAACACGGACCAAGGAGUCUAGCAUGUGCGCGAGUCAUUGGGAUAUUUACGAAACCUAAAGGCGCAAUGAAAGUGAAGGUUCGCCUUGCGCGAACCGAGGGAGGAUGGACGGUUCCGAGGAAUCGUCUCGCACUCCCGGGGCGUCUCGCUCUCAUCGCGAGAAGAGGCGCACCCAGAGCGUACACGCUGGGACCCGAAAGAUGGUGAACUAUGCCUGGUCAGGACGAAGUCAGGGGAAACCCUGAUGGAGGUCCGUAGCGAUUCUGACGUGCAAAUCGAUCGUCGGAACUGGGUAUAGGGGCGAAAGACUAAUCGAACCAUCUAGUAGCUGGUUCCCUCCGAAGUUUCCCUCAGGAUAGCUGGCGCUCGCUUCUCGCGAGUCUCAUUCGGUAAAGCGAAUGAUUAGAGGCAUUGGGGUCGAAACGGCCUCAACCUAUUCUCAAACUUUAAAUGGGUGAGAUCUCCGGCUUGCUUGAACUAUGAAGCCGCGAGAUAUCGGAUCAGAGUGCCAAGUGGGCCACUUUUGGUAAGCAGAACUGGCGCUGUGGGAUGAACCAAACGCUGAGUUAAAGCGCCUAAAUCGACGCUUAUGGGAUACCAUGAAAGGCGUUGGUAACUUAAGACAGCAGGACGGUGGCCAUGGAAGUCGGAAUCCGCUAAGGAGUGUGUAAA
rnacentral:rRNA from 1 species